AUUUUUAAAAGACCUUUUUCGGAAGGUAUGCUUAAAGAGGGGCUUGCGUCACAUUAGUUAGUUGGCAGGGUAAAGGCCUACCAAGACUAUGAUGUGUAGCUGGACUGAGAGGUUGAACAGCCACAUUGGGACUGAGACACGGCCCAAACUCCUACGGGAGGCAGCAGUAGGGAAUUUUCGGCAAUGGAGGAAACUCUGACCGAGCAACGCCGCGUGAACGAUGAAGUAUUUCGGUAUGUAAAGUUCUUUUAUUGAAGAAGAAAAAAUAGUGGAAAAACUAUCUUGACGAUAUUCAAUGAAUAAGCCCCGGCAAACUAUGUGCCAGCAGCCGCGGUAAUACAUAGGGGGCGAGCGUUAUCCGGAAUUAUUGGGCGUAAAGGGUGCGUAGGCGGUUUAAUAAGUCUAUAGUUUAAUUUCAGUGCUUAACACUGUCCUGCUAUAGAAACUAUUAGACUAGAGUGAGAUAGAGGCAAGUGGAAUUCCAUGUGUAGCGGUAAAAUGCGUAAAUAUAUGGAGGAACACCAGAGGCGUAGGCGGCUUGCUGGGUCUUUACUGACGCUGAGGCACGAAAGCGUGGGGAGCAAACAGGAUUAGAUACCCUGGUAGUCCACGCCGUAAACGAUGAGUACUAAGUGUCGGGAUUACUCGGUACUGAAGUUAACACAUUAAGUACUCCGCCUGAGUAGUACGUACGCAAGUAUGAAACUUAAAGGAAUUGACGGGACUCCGCACAAGCGGUGGAUCAUGUUGUUUAAUUCGAAGAUACACGAAAAACCUUACCAGGUCUUGACAUACUCUGCAAAGCUAUAGCAAUAUAGUGGAGGUUAUCAGAGAUACAGGUGGUGCAUGGUUGUCGUCAGCUCGUGUCGUGAGAUGUUAGGUUAAGUCCUAAAACGAGCGCAACCCUUGUCAUUAGUUGCCAGCAUGUCAUGAUGGGCACUUUAAUGAGACUGCCAAUGAAAAAUUGGAGGAAGGUGAGGAUCACGUCAAAUCAUCAUGCCCCUUAUGAUCUGGGCUACAAACGUGAAACAAUGGCUGUUACAAAGAGUA
rnacentral:rRNA from 1 species